GUGUUUCUCUGCCCUCACGGGUAGAAACGCCCACCCUUGUGUAUUAUAUAUUGUUGCUUUGGCAGGCCGCCCUCGGGCACCGGCUUCGGCUGGAUCGCGUCUGCCAGAGGAUUCCAAACUCUGAAUGUCAAUGUCGUCUGAGUACUAUUUAAUAGUUAAAACUUUCAACAACGGAUCUCUUGGUUCU
rnacentral:misc_RNA from 1 species